rnacentral:rRNA from 1 species
UGGGGAAUAUUGGACAAUGGGGGGAACCCUGAUCCAGCCAUGCCGCGUGUGUGAAGAAGGCCUUUUGGUUGUAAAGCACUUUAAGCGAGGAGGAGGCUACUCUAGUUAAUACCUAGGGAUAGUGGACGUUACUCGCAGAAUAAGCACCGGCUAACUCUGUGCCAGCAGCCGCGGUAAUACAGAGGGUGCGAGCGUUAAUCGGAUUUACUGGGCGUAAAGCGUGCGUAGGCGGCUUUUUAAGUCGGAUGU